rnacentral:rRNA from 1 species
AACGAACGCUGGCGGCAGGCCUAACACAUGCAAGUCGAACGAAGGCCCGGAGCUUGCUCCGGUGUCCUUAGUGGCAGACGGGAUAGUAACGCGUGGGAAUUUGCCCAAUAGUACGGAAUAACUGCGGGAAACUGCAGCUAAUACCGUAUACGCCCUCCGGGGGAAAGAUUUAUCGCUAUUGGAUAAGCCCGCGUCGAAUUAGCUUGUUGGUGAGGUAAUGGCUCACCAAGGCGACGAUUCGUAGCUGGUCUGAGAGGACGAUCAGCAUCACUGGGACUGAGACACGGCCCAG